GGCCCUUUGAGAAAGAGCACACCAUCUCGGCAGACGUGUGCAGUGUAUCUGAGUGAAUGGAUGGUACAUACGUUUCAAUGUUUAUUAAUAUCAUUAAAUGUAUAUACUGCUUAAUUGGCAAGGUGGCUUCUGAGCAGUUCACACGAAUAAAAAUAAACCUUCACAAUUAAAAUGGAGCAACAAAACAAACCUAUUAACACAGCACAGCAAUUAAAACUGUCAAGCCAGCGAUUAAGGCAAGUAAAAUAGGAGGUUCAAUCAGGAGACUGCUUAUGUAAGGAGGUGUCUCUUUAAAAGCUGGUGGAAUGCCAGUACUGAAUAUGACUCCCAGUAUGUCAAUACUACCUUGGCAAGAGAGAAGACUAGGAGUUUCUUUGACAUACCCAUCUGUUAUGGAUGCUUUGGUUUAGAUUCCUGCAUUGCAGGGGGUUGGACAAGAUGACCCUUGAGAUCCCUUCCAGCUCUACAAUUCUAUGAUUCGAUAUCAUCUUUGCAUGUGCAGGGAGUGGGGCAGGACAAGGGUAGCGGGGCAAAGUCCCAAGGCACAAGCAGAAAUCCUUGUACUGAUGGGAUAAUUGCUUAGCAUUGCAUUGGAUACAAGCUUUGGUACAUCACAGAAAAGACCAGCUAGCUAGAAUACUUAACCCUCAUGUGCGUACCUCCCACUUGCAGGAAGGGUUUUUCUGAGAAGGGUUGAAAUCUGACACCUCCGGUUCUGUAAUCUGAGAUGGAACAGGCUGCCGGCUCUGUAGAUCUGCUUUUAGUGUCCCCCCCAAAGGAAGAGGAAUUGGGAACAGCAGAGCUCUGCAACAUCCAAUAUCUUGCCUUUGUACUCUGGUUAAAUAUAAUUGCUAUUUUCAUUGACACCUCAUAGCAAGUAGGUCAUUGUUUCUAGUGGAAAUUCUGGCACGCAGGACAAGGUUAAUUGUGCUGUGCAUCAAAAUGCAUUAAGCAGCCUGGCAUUAUCUUUUGAGACAAUGACGCCACUAUUGCCGUUCGUCAGCACAGCUGCUUAUUUCAGGCAUUGCUUUACUCAAGAUAGCAAAAACUAAAAGACAGCGUGGAAGCGAUAGAGAAACCUGAACUUUUGCAGACACGACACCAAAUAAACUGCAGCUUUCAGAUGUCAGUGAAGGGGCUGACUGCCAGGCGUACAUAACCCACUGGUGUAAAUCGGAGACAUUUAAAUGCGGUAAAUCUUACUCCAGGAAAGGGUUUAACUCAAAAGCGAAUCCAGUCACUGCUUACAAACCUCAGUACAGUAGCAGGCCAUUUGCAGUUCACUGCCUUAUGCAGCUUGGACUAGUGUACUGUUUAUCUCCACUAUAUUUACCCUUUCUGGCCAAGUACUUACACUUAUUUAUGCCACUGGUCAGUGAUAGAUGUUGGACUGUUCCUUAGUCUUCCUUCAUUCUAGUAUUAGCCCAUUUUAACUGGUCUAAUUACUUUUUGUUGUUGAUGUUAAUCUGUCUCCUGCUUGUUUUCUUUCCCACGCUGAGGAUUAGUGUUAGUAUUAUUAUAUGGCUACAGGGCAUCAGCAGCAUGCAUGUAAAUAUAGUCCUUGAGACUGCUGUAACUGGAGUCAGUAAGCUUUCUCUAGAUGGUUUCCCUCCCUAAUCUAUGACUUUGAUUAUAAUGUAGCUUAGUACUUAAAUGUGACAUUCCCUUGCAUAGUCCAAAAUUGUGAGCAGAAAAUGAACAGGCCACUUCUAUCAUCCCAUAUCCUCCUUCCAGUCUAAAGAACAUUGACACAGUCCAGUUACACCACGUGAGCCGAGAGCACAGAUGGGACAUGCAUUGCCCCAUCUUUACAAUGACAGAAGGAUGCAACGGAUACUGUGUUAAACAUUGCUGGUCUCCAUUUAGUUCAUUUGGAUUUGUUCAGCACUGCCUUGCAAGAACCACUUAUUCCUGGGCAUUGUUGCACAGUGCUGAUAGUAGAUGAAUUCAUCCUGCAGUUUUCUGCACAAUUCAUGCUACGAUUUGCUGCUGUGAACAAAUACGUUUGACUACAAGGCAUCACUCCUACAAAAUGGCAAAGAUUCAAAUUUUCAAUUUUAUUACUUUAAACAUUUUUCACUAAACUGAGCUUUAAGAGUUAUCAACUGCAACAUCUGAGAUUUUUAAAAGGUUGUGUCCAAGAUAUUGUUGUUAACUAUAUUAAUUUAAAGCAUGUUUGCUUUGCUCCACAUCUGAAAGCUCUCAGACCAGCUUACAAAUCUAUAAAAAGACAGUCUCUGCUUGUAUGUAGGCUUACAAUCUUAAAAGACAUGACAUGAAAGGAAAAAGGGCUAGGGAAGGAGGAGGGGUUUUAAAAAAGAGAACUCAUGCCUCGUUCUUAAAGGAGGCAUGUAUUAUUUCACAACACAGCAAUUCAGUUUUGCAUCAUUUCGCGACACAGUAAUUCAGUUUUACUAGCAAAUCAGAGGUUAAACUCAAAGCUAUCCAGCCCUGGGAGGAGAGUGGGCAGCAUUUGCACAAGACACCUACACACUGCAGCUGACACACUAAGGUGGCACGACCAGUGCUUUUUUCUAAAAAGAUGUUUAGGGGUACUCUCAUUUUCCUACUCAUAUUGAAAUACUGCCAAACUUAGAUUCACAAAAUGUUUAGGGGUAUGCGUACGCAUGCCUCCCCCCAGAAAAAAAAGCACUGGAAAGCUCUGCUGUAAACCCUACACAAAUUUGGAGUCCCUAAGACGGUUGGAUGGCACCUUGUAUGCCUCCUUCCAGCCAAGCUGGUGCCAAAAGUAUUGCUCUGCUUUCUUUUGGACCACAUCAGUGAGGCCAAGAGGGAGGUCUUGUCAUUUUGGGCAGCCCAAGAACUCCAUACACACCACCAGGCUUGCACCCCAGAGUGGUCACAUCAGUGCUGCUAACGCAACAGUUUAAUUUCACCCCUGGAAGCGCAUCCCAUUGUCUCUUGAGACAGAUGGAUACCAGCAACAACAGUAUUCUGUGCUUGCUGUGCAUGUUGCAUAUAUGAUGUCUGCCAAAACAAUCAAGAGGUGACAAUGAAACUAAAAUACUACUAGAAUUUCAAGACUGGAGGGAUAUAUAUUCAUAAGUACAAAUUUGAAUGUAGAAUGAAACAUAUUGCUUUCAGUAUUUGAGUGAUGAAACUCGACAUUUUGAUCAUUUUUUAAAGAAACAUUUGGCCCAGCUCUUGAAUUUGAUGUAUUUUAGAAUGUUUUAGAUUAUUAUUUCUUAGAAACAAUUGUUAACCAGUCACCCUAAGUCUGAGUGAUAAAGGAGUUGGGAAGUAAGUUACCUUUGCUCAGAAAGAGCCCUUUGGUUUUGAUGUGGAAACUCUGAUGGCCCUUUGAAGCACGAGAAAUGGGGGUUUGUUUGGUUGCUCAUGAAAGGUAAAAAGAAAAAGUAGCCAUGUGCUUUGAAAAUGGUUGGGCUUCCUGCCUCCCUCCCCACCCCACCCCCACUCUGCAACAGGUCAGGUCUGGCCACAUUUCAAACAAAUGCUGUUAUCUCACGCUUUGGAGAGAUCUUGACUGUACAAAACAAUUUGCUAUUAUCUGACCUGAUGGACUGCAGUUGCAUGGAAAAACAGAGAUUGUUGUGGUGAUGUUUUUACUGUGCACGUAUUGUAUUGUAUUGUAUUGUAUUGUAUUGUACUUUCUGGAGUUUAGAACCUAACAUAAAAUAACAGAAAUGUGCAAGUCUUUUGAAAUGCUCAAGCUAUACAUUGGGCCUCUGUUUAGGAGAAACAGUCCUGCCCCCCCAUGUGAAUUUUCUGCUCAGUUUUCCACUUCUGUUCAGCACAGGGCAUUUCCGAAUGACUGGUUUUGUUUUAGGAUUUAUCCUGGUUUAUUUGUAGAGAAAUUAGAUGGCGCUGAGUAUUUAGUGAGUAUUAAUCCUGAUUUGUUUGCUGGGAGGUUAGAUGUUUCUGUAACAAAGCAAGUGUUGUCCCACACUUCCUGGUGAAUUUUCUUGCCUCUUUCAUUAUCACAAAAAGUCCUUUGUUUUGGAGGUCUCUGCAUCUUGCACUUAGGAAGGGGCUUGCUGCCAUUUGCAGGACUCUUGUCUGUCUGGCAUCACAUUGCAUCCUACCCUUACCCCAAGAAGCUCAAGGUGUUGCAACCCUCCAGACAUUGUUGGACUCCAUCUCCCAUGAGUCCCAGUUGGCAUAGCCAAUGGUCAGAAAUGAUGGGAGUUGUAGUCCAACAAAAUCUGGCAUAGUGAAGGCCCACUAUUGGCAUAUCAGGUUACUCCAAUUUACACUCAUGACAGCCUGCUAAAAUAGGCUAGGUUUAGACAGUGACUUUCCCAAUGCCACAUUCUAAGCUAGAUAUCUGAGCUGGAAUUUGAACUCUGCUCUUUCUGAUCUGGCACUGACAGUCUGUCAGUCCCUCUACAGUAUGCAGGAUCCUUUUUAGGUUGGCUACAGUUCCACCCCCCCGCCUCCCUCGCCAUGGCCCUUAACUUUGCAGCCACUACCAGUGAUGGUAUCAGGGCAGGACUUUGAGGCAAAAUUCCAGCAGAAUGAGCAGGGGAUUCCGAACCCCAGCCACAUUUUGAAGUAACACACAUCACCAUGUAAGAUGUUUUUACUGCGCACAGAUUGUAGUUUCUGGAGUUUAGAACUUAACAUAAAACAACAGAAAUGUGCAAGUCUUUUCAAAUGCUCAAGCUAUACAUUGGGCCUCUUUUUAGGAGAAACAGCUCCUCCCCUCCCCACGCAGUGUAAGUCCUUUGCUCCUAUGGAUCUGGGGCCUAACUUUGACAAGUGGUAGUGACAAGGUUCUUCACAUCAUUUCUACAACAUAAGUGGCACAACUGCCAAGGAAAAAAAGGAGCCCAGCCUCCACUAGAUGGCACAAUCCAUGUUCUUUCAGAACAUUAGAAUGUGUACCUAA
rnacentral:lncRNA from 1 species